GUUGCCCGAACCUAUGUUGCCUCGGCGGGCCCCGCGCCCGCCGACGGCCCCCCUGAACGCUGUCUGAAGUUGCAGUCUGAGACCUAUAACGAAAUUAGUUAAAACUUUCAACAACGGAUCUCUUGGUUCCGGCAUCGAUGAAGAACGCAGCGAAAUGCGAUAACUAAUGUGAAUUGCAGAAUUCAGUGAAUCAUCGAGUCUUUGAACGCACAUUGCGCCCUCUGGUAUUCCGGAGGGCAUGCCUGUCCGAGCGUCAUUGCUGCCCUCAAGCCCGGCUUGUGUGUUGGGCCCCGUCCCCCCCGCCGGGGGGACGGGCCCGAAAGGCAGCGGCGGCACCGCGUCCGGUCCUCGAGCGUAUGGGGCUUCGUCACCCGCUCUAGUAGGCCCGGCCGGCGCCAGCCGACCCCCAACCUUUAAUUAUCUCAGGUUGACCUCGGAUCAGGUAGGGAUACCCGCUGAACUUAAGCAUAUCAAUAA
rnacentral:rRNA from 1 species